GGAAUAUUGGACAAUGGGGGGAACCCUGAUCCAGCGACGCCGCGUGGGUGAAGAAGGCCUGCGGGUUGUAAGGCCCUUUCGGUGGGGAAGAAAAGCCUGGACCUACUACGUCGGGGUCUUGACGUAACCCACAAAAGAAGCACCGGCUAACUCUUGUCCAUCAGCCGCGGUAAUACAGAGGGUGCGAGCGUUAAUCGGAAUUACUGGGCGUAAAGCGCACGUAGGCGGCUCUGCAAGUCGGGUGUGAAAUCCCCGGGCUCAACCUGGGAACUGCAUUCGAUACUGCAUUGCUCGAGUAUGGGAGAGGGAAGUGGAAUUUCCGGUGUAGCGGUGAAAUGCGUAGAUAUCGGAAGGAACACCAGUGGCGAAAGCGACUUCCUGGACCAAUACUGACGCUCAGGUGCGAAAGCGUGGGGAGCA
rnacentral:rRNA from 1 species